rnacentral:piRNA from 1 species
AACCUCUCUGAUGUCAGAGCCUUCAGGCAGUG